UACGUAGGGGGGCGAGCGUUGUCCGGAAUCAUUGGGCGUAAAGAGCUCGUAGGCGGUUCAGUAAGUCAGGUGUGAAAGCUCCGAGCUCAACUCGGAGAGGCCACCUGAUACUGCUGUGACUAGAAUCCAGUAGGGGAGUGUGGAACUCCUGGUGUAGCGGUGAAAUGCGCAGAUAUCAGGAAGAACACCAGCGGCGAAGGCGGCACUCUGGGCUGGAAUUGACGCUGAGACGCGAAAGCGUGGGUAGCAAACAGG
rnacentral:rRNA from 1 species